GGGCGUGUAGCUCAUUUGGUAGAGCGCUCGCUUAGCAUUGCUACGGGUUCUUAGCUUUCAAGGCUCUGCGAGAGGUACUGGGUUCGAUUCCCAGCUCGUCCA
rnacentral:tRNA from 1 species